AUGCCUGUCGCCGCGGUGCCGAGCUCGGGUGAGCAGGUCAGAGGUGCACCGGCACCGCAUUUGGUCUUCGUCCCGAGCGCCGGCAUGGGCCACAUCCAGCCUUUCUGCCGCUUCAUUACCGCCCUCGCCAACAUGGGCGUGGAAAUCUCAGUCGUGACCGCUCUCCCGACCGUCACGGAGGCGGAGGCCGACCACUUCGCCGGCCUCUUCGCUGCCUUCCCCGCCAUCCGACGCAUUGACUUCAACCUCCUGCCGUUGGACGACGCCACCGUCGCCGAGACUGACCCCUUCUUCCUACGGUGGGAGGCCCUGCGCCGCUCAGCCCAUCUCCUCGGCCCACUCAUCGCCGGCGCCGCGCCGCGCGCGUCAGCCAUCGUCACGGAUGUCACCCUGGCUUCCCACGUCAUCCCCGUGGCCAAGAACGAGCUGCAGAUUCCAUGCCACAUACUCUUCAUCUCCUGCACAACCAUGCUGUCCUUCCUCGCCUACUUCCCCGCCUACCUCGACAGCGCCAACGCGGACCACCUCGUCGGCGACGUCGACGUGCCCGGCAUUGGACGCGUCCCGGUGGAUUACCCCCCGCAGUUGCUGCGCGACCCCGACAGCCUCUUCACCAAGCAGUUCAUUGACAACGGCCGCGAGAUCGCCAGAGCAGACGGCCUUCUCGUCAACACGUUCGACGCUUUGGAGCCGGAGGUGCUGGCUGCCCUGCGAGGCGGCAAGGUUGUUCCCGGGUUCCCUCCGGUAUACGCAGUCGGCCUCCUCAAUCUCAUGUCCACGACCACGGCGGCGAGAGGCGAUAAGGUGGUAGAGCCGGUACAUGGCGCCUCGCCUAUUAUUGGAUGGCUCGGGGAGCAGCCAGCGCGGUCGGUGGUCUACGUCGCCUUCGGCAGCCGUAUAGCGGCAGCGCUGGAACAGAUCCGUGAGAUCGGCGCCGGGCUGGAGGCCAGCGGCUGCCGGUUCCUGUGGGUGGUGAAGACCACGGUGGUGGAUCGGCAGGACACGGCAGAGCUGGGCGACGUGGUGGGCAAUGGGUUCUUGGGGCGCGUGCAGGGGCGCGGCCUCGUGACCAAGGAGUGGGUGGACCAGGAGGCGGUCCUGAGGCACCCGGCGGUGGGGCUGUUCAUAAGCCACUCCGGGUGGAACUCGGUGACAGAGUCGGCCACGCACGGCGUGCCGAUCCUGGCAUGGCCGAUGCUGGGUGACCAGCGCCUGAUCGCGACGGUGGUAAGGAGCGGCGGCUUCGGGCUGUGGAUGGAGCACUGGACCUGGGAGAAGGAGGAGUCGAUCGUGACCGGGGCAGAGAUUGCGGAGAAGGUGAAGGAGGUGAUGGGCGACGAGGCGAUUUCGGCAAGGGUGGCGGAGGUCCGCGAGGAGGCCAUCAAGGCCGUCGCCCCAGGCGGCUCCACCCAUCGCAGCAUCCAGCAGUUUCUUUCCACGCUCAACUGA
rnacentral:rRNA from 1 species